rnacentral:rRNA from 1 species
GACGAACGCUGGCGGCGUGCUUAACACAUGCAAGUCGAACGGACAGGCCCUGCUUUUGUGGGGUGCUCGAGUGGCGAACGGGUGAGUAACACGUGAGUAACCUGCCCUUGACUUUGGGAUAACUUCAGGAAACUGGGGCUAAUACCGGAUAGGAGCUCCUGCUGCAUGGUGGGGGUUGGACAGUUUCGGCGGUUGGGGAUGGACUCGCGGCUUAUCAGCUUGUUGGUGGGGUAGUGGCUUACCAAGGCUUUGACGGGUCGCCGGCCUGAGAGGGUGACCGGCCACAUUGGGACUGAGAUACGGCCCAGACUCCUACGGGAGGCAGCAGUGGGGAAUAUUGCACAAUGGGCGGAAGCCUGAUGCAGCAACGCCGCGUGCGGGAUGACGGCCUUCGGGUUGUAAACCGCUUUCGCCUGUGACGAAGCGUGAGUGACGGUAAUGGGUAAAGAAGCACCGGCUAACUACGUG